rnacentral:rRNA from 1 species
UACAGAGGGUGCGAGCGUUAAUCGGAAUUACUGGGCGUAAAGCGCGCGUAGGCGGCUUUUGCAAGUCGGAUGUGAAAUCCCCAGGCUUAACCUGGGAACUGCAUUCGAGACUGCAUUGCUAGAGUAUGGGAGAGGGAAGUGGAAUUUCCGGUGUAGCGGUGAAAUGCGUAGAUAUUCGGAAGAACACCAGUGGCGAAGGCGACAUACUGGUCCAUUACUGACGCUGAGGCUCGAAAGCGUGGGGAGCAAACAGG